CGCUGAACUUAAGCAUAUCAAUAAGCGGAGGAAAAGAAACUAACAAGGAUUCCCUUAGUAACUGCGAGUGAAGUGGGAAAAGCUCAAAUUUAAAAUCUGGCAGUCAUUUGGCUGUCCGAGUUGUAAUCUAGAGAAGUGUUGCCCGUGCUGGACCAUGUACAAGUCUCCUGGAAUGGAGCAUCACAGAGGGUGAGAAUCCUGUCUUUGACAUGGACUGCCAGUGCUUUUGUGGUAUGCUCUCAAAGAGUCGAGUUGUUUGGGAAUGCAGCUCAAAAUGGGUGGUAAAUGCCAUCUAAAGCUAAAUAUUGGCGAGAGACCGAUAGUGAACAAGUACCGUGAGGGAAAGAUGAAAAGAACUUUGGAAAGAGAGUUAAACAGUACGUGAAAUUGCUGAAAGGGAAACGCUUGAAGUCAGUCACGUUGACUUGGAAUCAGCUCUGCUUUUGCUGGGUGUACUUUCUUGUCAAUGGGUCAGCAUCAAUUUUGACCAUUGGAUAAAGUCAUUGGGAAUGUAGCAUCUUUAGAUGUGUUAUAGCCUGGUGAUGCAUACGGUGGUUGGGAUUGAGGAAUUCAGCACGCCACCAGGCCGGGUUUCGACCACGUUCGUGCUUAGGAUGCUGGCAUAAUGGCUUUAAUUGACC
rnacentral:rRNA from 1 species